UCAGUCUCAAGGCAGAGAACUU
rnacentral:piRNA from 1 species